rnacentral:rRNA from 1 species
UACGGGGGGUGCAAGCGUUGCUCGGAAUCACUGGGCGUAAAGCGUCCGCAGGCGGUUUGACAAGUCGGGUGUGAAAGCCCGGGGCUCAACCCCGGAACUGCAUUCGAAACUGUCUGACUUGAGUACGGGAGAGGGUCGUGGAAUUCCUGGUGUAGAGGUGAAAUUCGUAGAUAUCAGGAGGAACACCGGUGGCGAAAGCGGCGACCUGGCCCGAUACUGACGCUCAUGGACGAAAGCGUGGGGAGCAAACAGG